rnacentral:lncRNA from 1 species
AAGAACCAACUUCAUCUUCUUCUUCUUACCCGCCCCGUUCCCAUCACCCCCUCCCCACCCCAAGUUCUUCUUCAUCUUCUUCAUACCUCCACCUCCACCCUCAUUUCUUCAUCUUCUUUGUAACCCCCACCCCUACCCAUUUCUUCAUCUGCUUCAUACCCCACCACCCGUUUCUCCAUUACUUCAAAUCCUUUACUUUAUCUCUAUUACUUCAAUGUUUCUCAACUCCGUAUCACCAUUUUUUAUUUUAAUAUUGUUCAAAAAUUCCGAUCGAAAAUUGUAGUUAUAUUGAUUUUCAUUAAUUGAAAAUUCGAUUGAUAUUUUUCUAUCGAACAAGGUCAUCGUCAAUUGAUUAUUAUUUUUUCUCAGUUCUCACGUCUUGUGCUUAUUGGAAAUUCAUCAAAUUCGAUGAAGAAUUCAAUUGGAGAAUUCAAUUGAAGAAUUCGAUUUCGUAUAAUUAAAGAAUUCAAUCUCACCAAAUUCGAUGAAUUCAAUUUGGCCAUUUUGAGUUGGAGAAUUCUGUUGUUGAAAUGAAGUUGAUGCCAUUAUUGAUUGAGUUGAUGCUCAUUGUGGCAUUUUGUUGAAUCGGUGCUGGAUUAAAUUCAGAUUUAGUUGAGGCAUUUCGUCGAACAAGUGGUGUUUCUGAACAUUUUGUUCAUAUUUGACUCCAAUGGGGGAUUAUUUCAGGUGUGGGGAUUGAAGAAGAAAUAUGUUGGGGCGUGGGGCGCUGGAAGAGGAGGAGGGGGGGCUGCAUUUGUAGGGUAGGGGGUGGAGGUAAAGGCUGGAAGAGGAGAAACGUAAAGAGAGGAGGGGUGGGGGUAGGGGUGUGUGAAGAAGAAAGAAAAUAGAGGUGGGGGUGUCUUUUUUUAUAUAUUUAUAUAAAUAAAAUAGUAUAAUAUAUAUAUAUAGAGAGAGAGAGAGAAAUAUAUAUAUAAAAAUCAUGCGUGGGGGAUUAAUUUUUUUAGAAAAAUAGUAAUUUCUUACGUGGCAAUGGCGUGACUCCGACGUGGCAAUGAAGUGGCGCUAAUGUGGGCGAGUGUAACACACUCUCCAUUGUGAGAGUUGUAUUCAGUUUUGAGGGGUGAAAAUAAUAUACUUUAAAGAUAUUAAGGGGGUAAAUAAAUAAAAGUUUAAUUUAAGUGAUAAAGUAAAUUUAACGGCCCAAAUUUUUUUAUGACUUUUCUCAUAUUAUUAUAACAAUUCAAAAAGAUAGGACAAUGAUUUCGAGACAUUACAGAAAAGAGUACUAUAAUACAAGCUCUAUCUGGUGAUAUAGAUGCUUAUGUACUAUUUUUCCUUUCUUUUGGAAUGAUUCGAGGUGGCAUUUGUAUAGUUUUUAAUUUGGAUUGGCCAAUUGAAAACUUGAAGGUCUCAAAAUGAACUUAGGUUACUUGCAAAGGAUAUACAUUAAUGCUCGUUCGAUUGCUCGUUAGAGUUGUCUAAAUAAUAAUAAUGCAUAAUUUAGUUAUUUAUAUAUUGAUUAGUUUAUACUUCAUCGUACAUAAUACAUAGAUUAUCUCGUGCGUAACUUAUAUAUGUAUGAGUGAUUGUUCGAUUUUUAAAUUGCAAACCAAAUAUUAUAUUAGGUGUGUUGAUUUCAAUAGCAUAACAAGCUUAGACAAAUUCCACAAUUUGGAGAGGGUUAACAAAAAAUAUAUACAUUAUUUCAUACACAAUUUAAUACAUGAAUAGCUUAACUUCUAAUCAGCUACCAAAUUAUGUGAGGGUUGAAUGCACGUUGACAAAAGUGCUCGCCCAAAUCUUUUUACUUAGUCUAUACGAGUAAAUAAUAUGCAAAGCGAAAAUUUUGCAUAAAAUAAAUAGAAAUGAUACUACUUGCUGACAAUAAACUAAAGUCCAUUGAAUCCCUAUUGAAGCAGGGCCAUUUAGUCAAUACCAGAAUUUAAUGAGGUUAUUAUAUAUAUGUUGGCUAAACAAAUAUUCAGCCCUUAAACAUGUUCAAAAUUCUUGUUUAGACACUUAACUUUAUUUUAUUUCAACUGAACACAUAAUUAUAUACAAAUUUAUUCGAAUGAGACAUAAAAUGCUGACUUGACACAUGUUACAAAUAAAUAUACGUCGGAUGUGAAAAAUAUUAUUCCACGUAAUAAAAAAAAUACCGCAUAGAUAAAGAUCACAUAAACAGGCAGAAGUCCAUUCAUACACGGUUGUAGUUCAUUCAUGCACAGUUAUUUUAUAUAUAUAUUUAUUAUUAUUGACAUUAUAUACACGCGUAAAGCACAUAAUCUAUCAACAUGGGUUGUGGUGCAGUGGAUGGGGCUGCUCCAUCCUUAACAAGAGGUCGAGGGUUCGACCCUAGAUAUGGAGAAAACUCUGUUGGAAGCGUUGUCACCUAAAUGGACCCUGCAACACGCGAUCUGGAUUAGUCGGGGCUCCAAUGUGGGCACCGAAUAUUGAAUGGGAAACAAAAAAAAAGCACAUAAUCUAAAUUAGCCACAAUAAUAGUAGUGAUUGUAGACACGUGAUUUUUUUAUCCUCCCU